rnacentral:lncRNA from 1 species
ACUAGGUCUCACCCCUCUCCAAGAAGUAAGCUAUGAUUGGUUCCUAGAAAAGAAGGGAUCACUGUGUUUAGGGGUGUAGCCACUGUUAAUGUUCCUGACUCAUGUUCCUGUAGUCAACUCGGAAUACAGUAUGAAACUCACACAAAGAGAGAUGUAACAGGAGGAGGAAGAUGUGGUAAUACAAAGAAGGGACAAGGCAGGAAGGGCAAGGAGAUAAAAGAGGAUAAUAAAAUGAUCGGGACCAAAGUCAAUCAUAUGUGCAUGUGCUCCGAAGUGCGAAGGAAUAAAUACUUAUUUAACAAGAGACCACAUGAAUCUGGAAUUCUGGCACUCUGCUCCUUUUCAUGUUCGUUGACUAUAAGUGAUACCAGUGGCUGUAAAAAGUUGUGAGCUGUUUCCUUGAACUCUGUCAGGCCCCUGACAAUGCUGGAACGUCUUAAAAUAAAAACUUAGAAGACAGAAAUACAUCAAACUUCC